CUUCGGCGGGCGGCCCGGGUCCGCCCGGUGCCCCCUGGCCCCCUAGCGGGGCGCCCGCCGGAGGAAACCCAACUCUUGAUUAUUAUGGCCUCUCUGAGUCUUCUGUACUGAAUAAGUCAAAACUUUCAACAACGGAUCUCUUGGUUCUGGCAUCGAUGAAGAACGCAGCGAAAUGCGAUAAGUAAUGUGAAUUGCAGAAUUCAGUGAAUCAUCGAAUCUUUGAACGCACAUUGCGCCCGCCAGUAUUCUGGCGGGCAUGCCUGUUCGAGCGUCAUUUCAACCAUCAAGCCCCAGGCUUGUGUUGGGGACCUGCGGCUGCCGCAGGCCCUGAAAACCAGUGGCGGGCUCGCUGUCACACCGGGCGUAGUAGAUUUUAUCUCGCUCAGGGCGUGCUGCGGGUUCCGGCCGUUAAAAGCCUUUUUUACCCAAGGUUGACCUCGGAUCAGGUAGGAAUACCCGCUGAACUUAAGCAUAUCAAUAAGCGGAGGAAAA
rnacentral:rRNA from 1 species